rnacentral:tRNA from 1 species
CAAUCUUGAUGGGAUUCAAACCCACAAUCUUUGGCUCCAGAGGCCAACACCUUAUUUGUUGGGCCACAGGAUC